CACAGUACCAAACCCUGAAUAUACCAUGGUUUUUUCCCCCCCAUACAUACAUACCUACGGUGAAGUUUCAUUUAUAAAUUCGGCACGGCUUGAGCUGCCUCCAUGAGCCUCCAGGACUACAGAGAGCUCCUGACCUAUGAAACCAUGAUCCUGAAGGCUGGCCUCAGACGUGGCACUUAGGUAUGAUGGGAUCAACAAAUCAGGAGAUGGCCGGAUGCAAGGAACUUUGCCUCUCUUGCAAAUAGCCAGAGAUUCCAGGUUCCAGAAGUUCUGCAGCAUCAUAUCCUUGUUCCGGCCUCUCAGAGCCGGGUUCAGCUGCUGCUCCUCUUCCUGGGUGAAGUCCAUAGCCACAUCUGUGAGUGUCACCAAUUCCGGGGCCUCGUCAUCCAAUGGCUGGGCAGCCCAUGGUGGCUAGGGACAGGUAGCCAAGUGUACCAAAUGUCUCCAUUAUUACUCCAUUGAAUGAUAAAUUAUGUAGUAAUCUUAUCCAUGAGCGAAAUAUACACUGAAGCCAUGUUUCUCAAACCAGAACCCAGGCACCAGCAUGAAGACAGUCCUCCCCAGACUGGUCUGGCUGUGCAAAUCACCAUCUGUGCAGAGGGCUCUGAUGUCAUUUGGGCAACACAAGACAUGGAUGCCAUGAUUAAAAACACAAAUGCAAAUGGAGGUUCUGAUCCUGCUUGCCAAACUAGAUAUUCCAGAAUCGACAACUGAUAUUUUAAAAGAUUAUCGUUAAAAUGAAAACCAAAUUUGAAAAUUGUCUUAAAGGACUCAUGAACUCCUAAGAAUAUAUAUGGAGACACAUUCUUUUUUUUAAUGUUUAUUUAAAUUUUAGUUACUUAACAUCCAGUACAAUAUUGGUUUCAGGGGUAGAAUUCAGGGAUUCAUCAGUUACGCACAACAUCCAGUGCUCAUCAUAACAAGUGCCCUCCUUAGUACCCAUCACCCAUUUAGCCCAUCCCUGCCCAUUCACUUCCCUCUAUCAACCCUCAGUUUAUUCUCUAUCAUUAAGAGUCUUUUGUGGUUUGUUUCCCUCUCUCUUCUUUUUUUACCCUCUUCCCAUAUAUUCAUUUGUUCUGUUUCUUAAAUUCCACAUAUGAGUGAAAUCACAUGGUAUUUGUUUUUCUCUGAUUGACUUAUUUCACUUAGCAUAAUACAUUCUAGCUC